UAGAAACUCACAGGAAUUUUCUUGAUUCUUUGACCUUUGCGUUGACAUAAGAACAUCCAUGUUGAAUUAGACCAAGGGCCUAUCUAACCCAGUACUCUGUUCACACAGUUGCCAGCCAGUUGUCUACAGAAAGCUGUCCAGCAAGCUUGCAGAGAUCCUUUGCAAUGUUUACUCCUCUACAAUCCAUUUUUGCUCUUACCACUAAGUAUUUUGGUGCCAUUAGCCAAAGAGACCACCAGACUACCCAACCCUAAGAUCAGACUUUGCAUGAGGAGAUGCUGUAUGCUUCAAGCUUGGUCUCUCCUCCUCCGGGUCCCCUCCCUCAGGAUGGCACCUCAGUUUGAGCAUCCCUGAUCUCAAGCACCUCGGGGUCCCUCUUUCACCAGCUGAGAGAAGCCAAGGAGGAUCACCCCGGCUGGUCUGCCCACCGAGGUCACCCCCUCGAAGGGCGAGCCUCAGCCACCUAGCGGAGACGCUGAUGCUCCUGCGGCCGCCUGCGCAUCCAAAGGGGAGCAGCAUCCUCGAGCAGAAGCAGCGGCAGCAUCCUCAUUGCCGGCCGGGCGAAGGCGGACCCAGGGAUUCUCCAUCCUCCGGGGCGG